UACGGAGGAGGCAAGCGUUAUCCGGAAUUAUUGGGCGUAAAGCGUCCGCAGGUGGCACCUCAAGUCUGCUGUCAAAGACCGGGGCUUAGCCCCAGAAAGGCAGUGGAAACUGAAGUGCUAGAGUGCAGUAGGGGUAGAGGGAAUUCCCGGUGUAGCGGUGAAAUGCGUAGAGAUCGGGAAGAACAUCGGUGGCGAAAGCGCUCUGCUGGACUGCAACUGACACUCAGGGACGAAAGCUAGGGGAGCGAAUGGG
rnacentral:rRNA from 1 species